rnacentral:rRNA from 1 species
GAUGAACGCUGGCGGCGUGCCUAACACAUGCAAGUCGAGCGAAGCACUUUACUUGAUUUCUUCGGAUUGAAGGUAUAGUGACUGAGCGGCGGACGGGUGAGUAACGCGUGGGUAACCUGCCUCAUACAGGGGGAUAACAGUUAGAAAUGACUGCUAAUACCGCAUAAGACCACAGCACCGCAUGGUGCGGGGGUAAAAACUCCGGUGGUAUGAGAUGGACCCGCGUCUGAUUAGCUAGUUGGUAAGGUAAGGGCUUACCAAGGCGACGAUCAGUAGCCGACCUGAGAGGGUGACCGGCCACAUUGGGACUGAGACACGGCCCAAACUCCUACGGGAGGCAGCAGUGGGGAAUAUUGCACAAUGGGGGAAACCCUGAUGCAGCGACGCCGCGUGAGUGAUGAAGUAUUUCGGUAUGUAAAGCUCUAUCAGCAGGGAAGAAAAUGACGGUACCUGACUAAGAAGCACCGGCUAAAUACGUGCCAGCAGCCGCGGUAAUACGUAUGGUGCAAGCGUUAUCCGGAUUUACUGGGUGUAAAGGGAGCGUAGACGGAGAGGCAAGUCUGAUGUGAAAACCCGGGGCUCAACCCCGGGACUGCAUUGGAAACUGUUUUUCUAGGGUGUCGGAGAGGCAAGUGGAAUUCCUAGUGUAGCGGUGAAAUGCGUAGAUAUUAGGAGGAACACCAGUGGCGAAGGCGGCUUGCUGGACGAUGACUGACGUUGAGGCUCGAAAGCGUGGGGAGCAAACAGGAUUAGAUACCCUGGUAGUCCACGCCGUAAACGAUGACUACUAGGUGUCGGGUGGCAAAGCCAUUCGGUGCCGCAGCAAACGCAAUAAGUAU